rnacentral:rRNA from 1 species
CCUACGGGUGGCAGCAGUGGGGGAUAUUGCACAAUGGAGGGAACCCUGAUGCAGCGACGCCGCGUGGGGGAAGAAGCGCCUAUGCGCGGUAAGCCCUGUCAGUAGGGAAGAAAACGACGGUACCUGAAGCAGAAGCACAGGCUCACUACGUGCAAGCACCCGCGGUAAUACGUAGGCGGCCAGCGUUAUCCGGAUGAACUGGGCGUUAAGGGGGCGCAGACGGCGAUGCAAGCCAGGAGUGAAAGCCCGGGGCCCAACCCUAGGACUGCUCUUGGAACUGCGUGGCUGGAGUGCAGGUGGGGCAGGCGGAAUUCGUGGUGUAGCGGUGAAAUGCGUAGAUAUCAGGAAGAACACCGAUGGCGAAGGCAGCCUGCUGAACUGCAACUGACGUUGAGGCCCGAAAGCGUGGGGAGCAAACAGGAUUAGAUACCCGAGUAGUC